AUUGAACGCUGGCGGCAGGCCUAACACAUGCAAGUCGGACGGUAGCACAGAGAGCUUGCUCUCGGGUGACGAGUGGCGGACGGGUGAGUAACGUCUGGGAAACUGCCCGAUGGAGGGGGAUAACUACUGGAAACGGUAGCUAAUACCGCAUAACGUCGCAAGACCAAAGUGGGGGACCUUCGGGCCUCACACCAUCGGAUGUGCCCAGAUGGGAUUAGCUAGUAGGUGGGGUAAUGGCUCACCUAGGCGACGAUCCCUAGCUGGUCUGAGGGGACGACCAGCCACACUGGAACUGAGACACGGUCCAGACUCCUACGGGAGGCAGCAGUGGGGAAUAUUGCACAAUGGGCGCAAGCCUGAUGCAGCCAUGCCGCGUGUAUGAAGAAGGCCUUCGGGUUGUAAAGUACUUUCAGCGGGGAGGAAGGCGGUGAAGUUAAUAGCUUCACCGAUUGACGUUACCCGCAGAAGAAGCACCGGCUAACUCCGUGCCAGCAGCCGCGGUAA
rnacentral:rRNA from 1 species